UACGUAGGAUGCAAGCGUUGUCCGGAAUUAUUGGGCGUAAAGAGCUCGUAGGCGGCCUGUUGCGUCCGCUGUGAAAUCCCAGGGCUCAACCCUGGGCGUGCAGUGGAUACGGGCAGGCUGGAGGCAGGCAGGGGAGAACGGAAUUCCCGGUGUAGCGGUGAAAUGCGCAGAUAUCGGGAGGAACACCGGUGGCGAAGGCGGUUCUCUGGGCCUGUACUGACGCUGAGGCGCGAAAGCUAGGGUAGCAAACGGG
rnacentral:rRNA from 1 species